rnacentral:rRNA from 1 species
CCUACGGGAGGCAGCAGUGGGGAAUAUUGCACAAUGGGCGAAAGCCUGAUGCAGCAACGCCGCGUGAGGGAUGACGGCCUUCGGGUUGUAAACCUCUUUUAGUAGGGAAGAAGCGAAAAGUGACGGUACCUGCAGAAAAAGCACCGGCUAACUACGUGCCAGCAGCCGCGGUAAUACGUAGGGUGCAAGCGUUGUCCGGAAUUAUUGGGCGUAAAGAGCUCGUAGGCGGUUUGUCGCGUCUGCUGUGAAAUCCCGAGGCUCAACCUCGGGCUUGCAGUGGGUACGGGCAGACUAGAGUGCGGUAGGGGAGAUUGGAAUUCCUGGUGUAGCGGUGGAAUGCGCAGAUAUCAGGAGGAACACCGAUGGCGAAGGCAGAUCUCUGGGCCGUAACUGACGCUGAGGAGCGAAAGCAUGGGGAGCGAACAGGAUUAGAUACCCUGGUAGUCCAUGCCGUAAACGUUGGGCGCUAGAUGUAGGGACCUUUCCACGGUUUCUGUGUCGUAGCUAACGCAUUAAGCGCCCCGCCUGGGGNGGACGGCCGCGAGACGUAAACUAAAGAAGUAGACGCGUGAGACGUGCCGAACGGACGACGACGAGGGAGGUAGG